rnacentral:rRNA from 1 species
UCAAAGACUAAGCCAUGCAUGUGCAAGUAUAAACGCUUGAACCGUGAGACUGCGAAUGGCUCAUUAAAUCAGUUAUAGUUUAUUUGAUGGUGUUCUCCACGUGGAUAACCGUGGUAAUUCUAGAGCUAAUACAUGCAGAAGGUCCCGACUAGUUUCGGAAGGGACGUAUAUAUUAGAUCCAAAACCAAUGCGGGUGCCGUGUCCUCGGUCGCGUCCCCGGUUACUUGGUGAUUCAUGAUAACUGCUCGAAUCGCUUGGCCUCCGUGCCGGCGAUGGUUCAUUCAAGUUUCUGCCCUAUCAACUUUCGAUGGUAGGGUAUUGGCCUACCAUGGUCGCAACGGGUGACGGAGAAUUAGGGUUCGAUUCCGGAGAGGGAGCCUCAGAAACGGCUACCACAUCCAAGUAGGCAGCAGGCGCGCAAAUUACCCAAUCCCGACUCGGGGAGGUAGUGACAAUAAAUAACAAUGCCGGUCCCUAUAGUGGUCCGGCAAUUGGAAUGAGUACAAUCCAAACCCCUUAACGAGGAACAAUUGGAGGGCAAGUCUGGUGCCAGCAGCCGCGGUAAUUCCAGCUCCAAUAGCGUAUAUUAAAGUUGUUGCAGUUAAAAAGCUCGUAGUUGGAUUUCGGGGCCCCGGACGUCUGCUGCGUUCCCCGCUCGACUGUCGUGUGGGUGCGUGGUGGGCGUCGGUCUCUGAGUCGGAUCGGUCCGCCGAGAGGCGAGCACUGACCGACGGCCCCUGUUGUCUCUCGGGUUGCCCGCCUGCUCUUUAUUGUUGCGGACGGGGAGUUCGGGACGUUUACUUGGA